rnacentral:rRNA from 1 species
GAAGGGGGCUAGCGUUGUUCGGAAUUACUGGGCGUAAAGCGCGCGCAGGCGGUCUUCCAAGUCAGUGGUGAAAGCCUGGAGCUCAACUCCAGAACUGCCAUUGAAACUGUUAGACUUGAGUACGAGAGAGGUGAGUGGAAUUCCCAGUGUAGAGGUGAAAUUCGUAGAUAUUGGGAAGAACACCGGUGGCGAAGGCGGCUCACUGGCUCGGUAACUGACGCUCAGGCGCGACAGCGUGGGGAUCAAACAGGAUUAGAUACCCUGGUAGUCCACGCCGUAAACGAUGAAUGCUAGCCGUUGGAUAGCUUGCUAUUCAGUGGCGCAGCUAACGCAUUAAGCAUUCCGCCUGGGGAGUACGGCCGCAAGGUUG